CUUGGAUACCUGUCCCAACAGUUUUUUGGCGAAGAGGUUCUGAUCCUGCAUGAAAAGGCCCACAGCAGGCCUUGGGGCUUGAGGGAAGUUCUCCAGACAACCACUGGUGAAACAGAAAUUGAUUUUCUUUUCACGUCUCAUCCCCGGUCCUCGUUCUUCGAUCCAAGUGAGAGGCCUGUAAAAUGUAAUGUUCCCUUCACUAGGUCUUUCCCAGCCACCUCCUUUUUCAGCUGCUUGUAUUCUUCAGUCAGAAGUUCAAUAUGCUCCACAUGGAGGACUUUACCUUUUUGCUCAGCCGUCUCCCAGAGCUCAUGGGCUGCCUCAGCAGACAAAGCCAUGGGGUACUCAACAAGGACAUGUUUCCCAGCUUCUAAAAACAUUCUGAAAGGGAUACGAGAUCAGUCUUUAAAAUGUAU
rnacentral:lncRNA from 1 species